CCUGUAUAUCAUACAUCAAGUUAGGGCACAACAAGUCAAGCAAACCGGCUUUCCAACCCAGUCUCCUGCUUCUGCGUAUCUAUACAACAAGUUUGCAUUUUCGUUUGGCGUAGUAUUUACACGCCAAAGUCACAUUUUGCGUGCAUAUUGUACGCAAAACCCCUCCCGUUAACUUCCAUUGAUGUAGAAUGCGUAUAAAUUGCACGCAGAACUGUAAAUUGUUCACAACGUCAUCAUCAUCAUUGUCCCGCCCAUUCAAUCUUACGAAGAUUCACGAUUAUGCCAAAACAGAAUAUGCUACGUUUAGAUCGCUUUUAUUACAACUAGCUGUUGUACAUUACAUACUGUGACGAAUCUUGCUAAUACAUCUAACAUUAUACACUGAGCUGUAUCGGACGAUAGUUUUUACAGUUUAAUUCUAAACAAUCCGUUUCAGACGCGGAAACAAAAGCUUCCAGACGCUUUAUUAAUUCAAAGUUUAAACAGCUGUGCUGCUUGUAGUUAAAUAUGAAAGCUGUCUGGUUUGUUUAAUUUGUUUACUGCUUUUUGGCUUGUGUUCUAUAUAAUAUAUUAAUAAAAAUAUUUAAAUAUCUCCGUGCUGCUUCACUGUUGUGAUUGCUUUUGGAAUAUUUAAAGUAUAAACUUUAUUAAAUAAUAAUAAUAAAUACAUCAUUUUAGUACUUCGCUGCUUCAGGAACCGCCCACUCCCGCUUGGAAACCAAUCAAAUGUUAAAACAUCUUUCGCGUCCUUAUCAUUGUCCCGCCCCCUUAUUGGACGGUACACGGUAGUUCAGUACAACCUGGAGAGCACGUGCGUGGAUGAAGAAGCUGCCAAUCUAAUCAUAUUAUCAGGAUAGGAUACAAAAUCAAAAUGCCAGGUUCAACUAUUCGGCAAUGUCCCCACUGCCAGAACAAAAUGAAUUGCAGAAACCGGCGCUGUGUCAAGUGUGGAAAACUGCUUGAUUUUAAAAACAGACAAUCCGUGCGGUUGGCAAAGUUUCGAGCCCAAGCCAGUCAGUGGGCAAAAACAACUAUUAAGUCUCGGAAUCAGUCCAAAGUCCUUGACAAUUUAGCUGUCAUGGUAAGUAAAU